rnacentral:rRNA from 1 species
ACGAACGCUGGCGGCGUGCUUAACACAUGCAAGUCGAACGGAAAGGCCCCUUUGGGGGUACUCGAGUGGCGAACGGGUGAGUAACACGUGAGUAACCUGCCCUUGACUUCGGGAUAACUUCAGGAAACUGGGGCUAAUACCGGAUAGGAAUCCUUGCUGCAUGGUGGGGGUUGGAAAGCUUCGGCGGUUUUGGAUGGACUCGCGGCUUAUCAGCUUGUUGGUGGGGUAGUGGCUUACCAAGGCUUUGACGGGUAGCCGGCCUGAGAGGGCGACCGGCCACAUUGGGACUGAGAUACGGCCCAGACUCCUACGGGAGGCAGCAGUGGGGAAUAUUGCACAAUGGGCGGAAGCCUGAUGCAGCAACGCCGCGUGCGGGAUGACGGCCUUCGGGUUGUAAACCGCUUUCAGCAGGGGCGAAGCUUGUGGUGACGGUACCUGCAGAAGAAGCACCGGCUAACUAGGUG